UACGUAGGGUGCGAGCGUUGUCCGGAAUUAUUGGGCGUAAAGAGCUCGUAGGCGGUGUGUCACGUCGGCCGUGAAAACCUGGGGCUUAACUCUGGGCGUGCGGUCGAUACGGGCAUCACUAGAGUUCGGCAGGGGAGACUGGAAUUCCUGGUGUAGCGGUGAAAUGCGCAGAUAUCAGGAGGAACACCGGUGGCGAAGGCGGCUUUCUGGGUCUUACCUGACGCUGAGGAACGAAAGCCAGGGGAGCGAACGGG
rnacentral:rRNA from 1 species